rnacentral:rRNA from 1 species
UACGGAGGAUGCAAGCGUUAUCCGGAUUUAUUGGGUUUAAAGGGUGCGCAGGUUGUUUGAUAAGUCAGUGGUGAAAGUCUGUCGCUUAACGGUAGGAUUGCCAUUGAUACUGUUGGACUUGAAUAUGGAUGAGGUAGGCGGAAUGUGUAGUGUAGCGGUGAAAUGCAUAGAUAUUACACAGAACACCGAUUGCGAAGGCAGCUUACUAAUCAAUCAUUGACGCUGAGGCACGAAAGCGUGGGGAUCAAACAGGA